rnacentral:rRNA from 1 species
UACGAGGGGGGCGAGCGUUGUUCGGAAUUAUUGGGCGUAAAGGGCGCGUAGGCGGUGCGGUAAGUCACCUGUGAAACCUCUGGGCUCAACUCAGAGCCUGCAGGCGAAACUGCCGUGCUAGAGUGUGGGAGAGGUGCGUGGAAUUCCCGGUGUAGCGGUGAAAUGGCGUAGAUAUCAGGAAGAACACCCGUGGCGAAGGCGGCUCUCUGGUACGUGACUGACGCUGAGACGCGAAAGCGUGGGGAGCGAACAGG